CACAAAAGCAAAACAAGGUUUAAAAAAGUGAUACAUUGCCAGGCAUUUUGGCAAGAUUUCCUUGGAUCCAGACUGUGUUUUGCACUGUUUCAGUUGAAAAGAAGAGCAGCGCUCCUGCCCGCCACAUUGUCAGCAGUUCACGUUUUGGCACCAGAUGGAGGCUUUCUUUUGGUGAAAUGCCACCGUGUCAUUCAGCCGAGCUUUGAGCCUUUGAAUGUUCGCGCAGGUCCACGACCGGGAUCGGACCCCGUGAACCCCAGGCCACGAAAAUGGAGCGCAAAGUCAACCACUACACCAUCAGGCCUGCCCCUCAAAAAGUUUUAAAGAACGUUGAGCUUUAAAAUGUUUCGAAGCCCCGAGGCUGGGAUUUUUAGGGAGCAGAUCCAGAGAGCUGGACUGCCUCCUCUGCAGUCUGGACCGUCUGCGUCUUUACAGAGCACCUCCCACCGUGAAGCACAAGGCCCCUCCCUGCUCACUGGAAUGAAAUGAUCGUCCUAAGAGGUCAACUUGCUUAAUUAUAUUUAAUUCCCCCAACUUUCUCCUGUGGCAGGAGGUAAAAUGCCACUGGAUAUGGCUUUUCUCUUGAAAGUACGUGGAAGAGCUGUGUUGGAGGGUCAGAAUAAGUGGUGUGUCUAUCCCUAGUUAGAGGAGGUCGCCUUUCAGUUGUGGUGGACUGAGGCCAUCGGCCACCAGAACAAGCCAUCUCUUGCUUUACUGUAGAACCAGCUGUAACAUCUAGAACGUGUUGCUCCUCUUUUCCUAAGGACUCAGAAUAUACCCACGAAGUUACUUCAAAUAGAGUCUAUUGUAAUCGUCAAAUAAGCCGAAUGUCGCUAAAUAUACCCGCUGUUAUUUUAGUCUUUAUUUGUAUAUGAUGAUUUAAUUUUCAUUGACUUGGAUGUGCUGUAGUGUAAAGCGCUCUGACUUCCCACCGCGGGUGGAGAGGGAACGACGAUGCUGAAGCGCACAGAGCCGUCACCG
rnacentral:lncRNA from 1 species